rnacentral:lncRNA from 1 species
GGGGAGAUUGGCAGCCUGCGUAUUCAGAGCGGAGGUGAAAGUUUUAAGGAGGCCCACAGCCUCCUGGCUUCUGUCAUUUCUGCAGAUUGGAGAUUACUUCCCUGCCGCUUUCUGCAGGGCUGUUGAAACCAAGCAAAAUAUAAGAACGUUUCAAGAAGCAGCCUCUUUGUGGGGAGCGUUUGGCUAGCAGGAAAGGAGAAGUGAGGAAUGUGGCGUGAAAGAAAGAGUUGUCUACUGAAUGAAUCUGAAUUGGCCACGUUUGUCGAGGAAAAUCCUCCCUAUUAUGUUUCCUGGAACCCAUUUACUCUUGAAACCAUUCAGGAAGAAUGCAGGAAAUUAAAAGGGAGCCUCAUUUUCAGUGUGACCUUGGAUCUAUUGCUUGACCUUCCAACACCUGGGGCAAUGCAAAUGAGUAUCAAAUUGUGUCAAAACAGGGUCUUACUGGAAAACAGAUGUUGUGUCAG